rnacentral:rRNA from 1 species
GACGAACGCUGGCGGCGUGCUUAACACAUGCAAGUCGAACGAAGUGGCGAACGGGUGAGUAACGCGUAAUCAACCUGCCGUUCAGAGGGGGACAACAGUUGGAAACGACUGCUAAUACCGCAUACUGAAGGAGGGGUUUGCGUCUGAUUAGCUAGUUGGAGGGGUAACGGCCCACCAAGGCGAUGAUCAGUAGCCGGUCUGGGGGGAUGAACGGGCACAAUGGGAAUGGGGCAAGGCCCAGACUCCUACGGGAGGCAGCAGUUGGGAAACUUCCGCAAUGGACGAAAGGCUGACGGAACAAAGGCGCGUGGUUUGUUACGGCCUUCGGGUUGUAAAGCUCUGUUAAGCGGGAAGCGGUACCGGAAUAGAAAGCCACGGCUAACUACGUGCCAGCAGCCGCGGUAAUAC